AAAUUGAAGAGUUUGAUCAUGGCUCAGAUUGAACGCUGGCGGCAGGCCUAACACAUGCAAGUCGAACGGUAACAGGAAGCAGCUUGCUGCUUCGCUGACGAGUGGCGGACGGGUGAGUAAUGUCUGGGAAACUGCCUGAUGGAGGGGGAUAACUACUGGAAACGGUGGCUAAUACCGCAUAACGUCGCAAGACCAAAGAGGGGGACCUUCGGGCCUCUUGCCAUCAGAUGUGCCCAGAUGGGAUUAGCUUGUUGGUGAGGUAACGGCUCACCAAGGCGACGAUCCCUAGCUGGUCUGAGAGGAUGACCAGCCACACUGGAACUGAGACACGGUCCAGACUCCUACGGGAGGCAGCAGUGGGGAAUAUUGCACAAUGGGCGCAAGCCUGAUGCAGCCAUGCCGCGUGUAUGAAGAAGGCCUUCGGGUUGUAAAGUACUUUCAGCGGGGAGGAAGGUGUUGUGGUUAAUAACCGCAGCAAUUGACGUUACCCGCAGAAGAAGCACCGGCUAACUCCGUGCCAGCAGCCGCGGUAAUACGGAGGGUGCAAGCGUUAAUCGGAAUUACUGGGCGUAAAGCGCACGCAGGCGGUCUGUCAAGUCGGAUGUGAAAUCCCCGGGCUCAACCUGGGAACUGCAUUCGAAACUGGCAGGCUUGAGUCUUGUAGAGGGGGGUAGAAUUCCAGGUGUAGCGGUGAAAUGCGUAGAGAUCUGGAGGAAUACCGGUGGCGAAGGCGGCCCCCUGGACAAAGACUGACGCUCAGGUGCGAAAGCGUGGGGAGCAAACAGGAUUAGAUACCCUGGUAGUCCACGCCGUAAACGAUGUCUACUUGGAGGUUGUGCCCUUGAGGCGUGGCUUCCGGAGCUAACGCGUUAAGUAGACCGCCUGGGGAGUACGGCCGCAAGGUUAAAACUCAAAUGAAUUGACGGGGGCCCGCACAAGCGGUGGAGCAUGUGGUUUAAUUCGAUGCAACGCGAAGAACCUUACCUGGUCUUGACAUCCACAGAACUUUCCAGAGAUGGAUUGGUGCCUUCGGGAACUGUGAGACAGGUGCUGCAUGGCUGUCGUCAGCUCGUGUUGUG
rnacentral:rRNA from 1 species